UCGUCUUGAUCUUUAUAACUCAUUUUCAUCUUGUGUAUUUUGAGGAGUGGUUGGUUUUCUCUCCUCUGUUAGUCCAAUUGUGGACUUUCUUUGUAAAAUUGGCUUUUUGCCCUGGUUAAUAAUAUUGCCUGUUUAAAAAUAAAAAAUAAAAAAAAAAAGUUUGGAAUUGGCAGUGUAGAAAUGAACAGUGAUUUGGGCUAAAUUUCAUUUUAUUUACGAGGCUGCCACUGACUCUCUCUGCUGUUGAUCAUGAUGCCCGCGUGUUGAUGAUCGUGGAAAGGCAGGGUGCGAUCGUCACUUUACCAUUCUCUUCCUCCCCUCUUUCUCUCUCCCUCGGAUCCCAUUCUCUUCAUUACUCUCUCUAUCUCCCUCAGUUUCAAUCGGCUCACCUAAAAUCCCCGGAUCGAACAUCCUCCAUCUCUAAUAAAAAAACCUUCCCCCUUCAGAACCCAUAGAAUCAGCACUCUUGGAAUAAUCAUGGAUUUUUGUUGAGAGUCGACCUUCAGGUGAUAAAAUCGUGAUGUGACCAUCGUAUUAUCUCUCACGGCUCACAACGAUGAAAUCGCACAGGGCUUCGUUGAUUUCUGUCAACUCCGACAACGACCAGCGUCGUGUAAGCUAUCAAUUACACAUUCCAGUUUGAUUGUAUGUGUUUUGGAUGCAUCUUGAUUUCCUUAGUAUGAUUAGACGAUUCGGAUGCGCCUAGCCUAAUAAACAAACUAAUCUGCCUCGCGCGUUCAGUCAUCUCCUUCCUUCGUCUAAAACCUCACACAGAGACAGAGAUCCCCCAAAACCCUAAACGCCCAAAGUAUUAAUCACAAAGUUACGUAGCUGAAAUUGCAAACGCUAUCAUGGCUGGCUUCAAAAAUUUAAGCUUGAAAUUUUUAGGUUCUGUUUGGUUGUUGGGAAAACUGAAUCGAAGAAUUUUUUUUUUGUUGUUUUGUUUGUUUGUUUGUUUUGUUUUAUUAAUUAUCUCGGAAACGUAGUUGAUUGUUGUGUUUCUGAAAAUGGGAAAACAGAAGAAGAAGGUGUUUGUGAAGUCAGUUUCGAUGAAGAAGCAGGCUAAUAUUGACCAUAUCACGGGAUAAAAUCCCAAGGAGCUUUGUGUUUUCCAGAUGCAAGUUACCUGGUCUUCUGAAGCAGCUUCAAGCUGAUUUGAGGAAACUGAUGCUUCGCUACACUGCCCUUAAGCUUAAGGAGAAGAGGCGGAACAAUCUUAAAGACUUUUUGAAUGUGGCUGGGCCUAUGGGGGUUACACAUUUCCUCAUGUUGUCGAAAACUCCAACUGCGCCAUACCUUAGAUCCUGAUUGACAAGGAAGAACAGAAACGGAUAUAACAACAAUGGGACCAAAUGGGAGAUCCAAUGAAAAAAAAAGCAGCAAUGGAUAAACCGAGAGCUAUAGAUUUCAACUGCCUCACAACCGCCGCCAGAGAGGUCAGAUUGUCCAGAGCGCUGCCUCUUCCUCCGCCAACACUGCUGUGUCAGAUGUUAAGCUGCAGCUCCAGGGGGACCACAGCAAUGGCUUCAAUCCCAUCUCCACUUCUGCUUCUGGAGUUUGUCAGGGAGAAAGUUUGUGAACGAAAGAAAUCUAAUCAAGAGGCUGGGUUAAUUUGAUUCUUGAUCAAUGAUUGGAUAUUAUAUUACAAUAGUGGGUUCUGUUUUUAGGGCUGGAUGAAAAGAACCACCUAUCAGAGCUUUCAACAACUCGAAGGGAGUAUAUACUUUGUAUGCCAUUGAUAGGGAAUGGAUACGUAAUUAGAUCAAUUGAUGGGUGCCGCUGUUUUGGAUAUCUACAUCCAGCAAUACCUGGUAUUCUGUGUUUUGUUGUUUUAGCUCAGUGUUUUGUUGUAAUGGAUUGGAAUUUCUACUAGAAUCAUUAUUAUUAUUAUAUAUUUAGGGGUUGGGUAAAUUGAUUUUAGAGAUUUUGUAUGUGGUUUGGGUUCUUUGAUUUUGUUUAGAUAGAUGGUGCUUGAUUGUGGUUUAAGUUUUUUUAGUAUAUUCCCAGCACAUUGCAAAAUUCUGGUACUAUUUGGGUGUUUUGGUGUUGAAAGCCUAGGGUUUAGGGUUUAGCGUUUAGCAUUUAGGGGAAUGAAAAGAAGGGAUGUCUGCGUUUCUGAAAUCUUAUGCAAAUCUAAUUUGAAAUCAUGAAACACAUUUCCUAUGUUUCUCAAAUCUCAGCAACAGGUUUUAGAAUCCUGAAAUCUAAGUGAAGGUACAUCAUUCCUAUUUUCGUGUUUUUUUAAUUCCCAUCAUCAUGGCCACGGUUAAACAUGAAUAUGCAUGCCAACCUUGCAUACUCAGUUAUUAAUUUCUGGAUGAAUUUUUCUUUAGACGAGGGUUUGCAGAUAUGAAUACUUGAGGGGCAGAUGGUCACCCCCAUGUUGGAUCCAUUGAUACUGAUACAACUUGGGAUGUAGUUGGUUAUGUUCAAAUCAGAAAUAAAAUUGUUGUGUAUAUUCCGCAUUUGAUUGAAAAUCUGUAAUUUUAUGAAUCAUUUAUUCGAAUUUAAUUUCAGUUAAAUAGAAAUUCUUCUUCUUCGAUAUCACUGUGCGCAACACAUAAUUUCAAUUAGUUUUUUUUUUGUAAGAUUCCGUAUAAUUAACCUCUACAAUUUUAUUCACAUGUUCAUGGUGACCACUUAAUUAAUUAGUGAUUGGGUGUUGACCACUGAAUGUUUUUUUUUUCAGUUCGAAGCUUGAAUCUCACCGAGCUUCAGUUAUUGUUUCAAAGGGUGAAAAAGAGUGGGGGACACGGGAAGAGGGGAGAAAGAGGACAAAAGAAUGGUUUGUGCUACUUUCAAUGCUUUGGGUUAAAAAAAGAACAAAGAGCAUGUGGUGUGGAAACACACCAGCGAAGCCUCACUUUCGAUGUCGAACUCAAGUGUGACUCUAAUCUAGCCCCCGAAAUUCCAACAUAGCAUGUAGCAAUGCUAAUGUUUUCCUGUGUGAUCUUCAUACAAAGGUGCAAGACAUAUGAGCUUCUAAUCAAGAAAGACCUGCUUUUAAAUCCCACUGUGUGUUUAAAGUGCUGGAUGGGUUGUGCUUUUACCGACCCUAAUAAAAUUAUAUUUGAAUCAUGCUGUCUGAUAACUCUUUCUUUUUUUUCCUGUUUGUGGUUUUUAGUCUUUGUCAUUUAAUUGGUGUAGCUUUGCUAGGAUCUCUGUUCCGGCAGUGUGUGAUUAGUGCUAAAGGAAUUUCAGCGCUGUUUCUGAGCUA